CCUGGUCGGGAAGAGGCUGUGCAGAACUAGCUCCUCCGACCAGGAGCUAGUUCUGCACAGCCUCUUCCCGCCCAGG
rnacentral:pre_miRNA from 1 species